UUCCUUUUGUGGCUCAUGAGCAUGAUGAAUGGGUAUUCACUCAUUUGUGUGAAACGUGCCUCCUCUGACAUGUAA